AGUCGAACGAACUUCCGUUAAUUGAUUAUGACGUACUUGUACUGAUUGAGAUUUUAACACGAAGUGAGUGGCGAACGGGUGAGUAACACGUGGGUAACCUGCCCAGAAGUAGGGGAUAACACCUGGAAACAGAUGCUAAUACCGUAUAACAGAGAAAACCGCAUGGUUUUCUUUUAAAAGAUGGCUCUGCUAUCACUUCUGGAUGGACCCGCGGCGUAUUAGCUAGUUGGUGAGGUAAAGGCUCACCAAGGCAGUGAUACGUAGCCGACCUGAGAGGGUAAUCGGCCACAUUGGGACUGAGACACGGCCCAGACUCCUACGGGAGGCAGCAGUAGGGAAUCUUCCACAAUGGACGCAAGUCUGAUGGAGCAACGCCGCGUGAGUGAAGAAGGGUUUCGGCUCGUAAAGCUCUGUUGUUAAAGAAGAACGUGGGUAAGAGUAACUGUUUACCCAGUGACGGUAUUUAACCAGAAAGCCACGGCUAACUACGUGCCAGCAGCCGCGGUAAUACGUAGGUGGCAAGCGUUAUCCGGAUUUAUUGGGCGUAAAGCGAGCGCAGGCGGUCUUUUAAGUCUAAUGUGAAAGCCUUCGGCUCAACCGAAGAAGUGCAUUGGAAACUGGGAGACUUGAGUGCAGAAGAGGACAGUGGAACUCCAUGUGUAGCGGUGAAAUGCGUAGAUAUAUGGAAGAACACCAGUGGCGAAGGCGGCUGUCUGGUCUGCAACUGACGCUGAGGCUCGAAAGCAUGGGUAGCGAACAGGAUUAGAUACCCUGGUAGUCCAUGCCGUAAACGAUGAUUACUAAGUGUUGGAGGGUUUCCGCCCUUCAGUGCUGCAGCUAACGCAUUAAGUAAUCCGCCUGGGGAGUACGACCGCAAGGUUGAAACUCAAAAGAAUUGACGGGGGCCCGCACAAGCGGUGGAGCAUGUGGUUUAAUUCGAAGCUACGCGAAGAACCUUACCAGGUCUUGACAUCUUCUGACAGUCUAAGAGAUUAGAGGUUCCCUUCGGGGACAGAAUGACAGGUGGUGCAUGGUUGUCGUCAGCUCGUGUCGUGAGAUGUUGGGUUAAGUCCCGCAACGAGCGCAACCCUUAUUACUAGUUGCCAGCAUUAAGUUGGGCACUCUAGUGAGACUGCCGGUGACAAACCGGAGGAAGGUGGGGACGACGUCAAAUCAUCAUGCCCCUUAUGACCUGGGCUACACACGUGCUACAAUGGAUGGUACAACGAGUCGCGAGACCGCGAGGUUAAGCUAAUCUCUUAAAACCAUUCUCAGUUCGGACUGUAGGCUGCAACUCGCCUACACGAAGUCGGAAUCGCUAGUAAUCGCGGAUCAGCAUGCCGCGGUGAAUACGUUCCCGGGCCUUGUACACACCGCCCGUCACACCAUGAGAGUU
rnacentral:rRNA from 1 species